rnacentral:rRNA from 1 species
UAGGGAAUAUUGCACAAUGGGCGCAAGCCUGAUGCAGCAACGCCGCGUGCACGAUGAAGGCCUUCGGGUUGUAAAGUGCUUUUCUGCAGGACGAGGAAGGACGGUACUGUAGGAAUAAGGAUCGGCUAACUACGUGCCAGCAGCCGCGGUAACACGUAGGAUCCGAGCGUUAUCCGAAUUCACUGGGCGUAAAGGGCUAGCAGGCGGCCGGAAAAGUUGGAUGUGAAAUCUCCUGGCUCAACUGGGAGAGGCCGUUCAAGACUAUCUGGCUCGAGGGCGAUAGAGGGAGGUGGAAUUCCAGGUGUAGUGGUGAAAUGCGUAGAUAUCUGGAGGAACACCAGUGGCGAAAGCGGCCUCCUGGAUCGCACCUGACGCUGAGAAGCGAAAGCUAGGGGAGCAAACGGG